UGGGGAGAGUUGGAGAUCACUCCAGAUCCAAUUGAAGCCCUAGGGUAGAUCUAAAGAAACAAAAAAAGAAAUAGCUUCAGUCGUGGAUCGAGGAUGGGAGUCUGGUAAUAAACUUACACCCUCCUCGAGAAGAAAAAUACCACCACUCCUUGUUAGGAUGUUUCUUCAAGAUGAACAUUGCUCUAAAGAGUGAGCACCUAGAGGGAU
rnacentral:lncRNA from 1 species